GACGAACGCUGGCGGCGUGCUUAACACAUGCCAGUCGAACGGAAAGGCCCUGCUUUUGUGGGGUGCUCGAGUGGCGAACAGGUGAGUAACACGUGAGUAACCUGCCCUUGACUUUGGGAUAACUUCAGGAAACUGGGGCUAAUACCGGAUAGGAGCUCCUGCUGCAUGGUGGGGGUUGGAAAGUUUCGGCGGUUGGGGAUGGACUCGCGGCUUAUCAGCUUGUUGGUGGGGUAGUGGCUUACCAAGGCUUUGACGGGUAGCCGGCCUGAGAGGGUGACCGGCCACAUUGGGACUGAGAUACGGCCCAGACUCCUCCGGGAGGCAGCAGUGGGGAAUAUUGCACAAUGGGCGGAAGCCUGAUGCAGCAACGCCGCGUGCGGGAUGACGGCCUUCGGGUUGUAAACCGCUUUCGCCUGUGACGAAGCGUGAGUGACGGUAAUGGGUAAAGAAGCACCGGCUAACUACGUG
rnacentral:rRNA from 1 species